rnacentral:rRNA from 1 species
UACGAAGGGGGCUAGCGUUGCUCGGAAUCACUGGGCGUAAAGGGUGCGUAGGCGGGUUUUUAAGUCAGGGGUGAAAUCCUGGAGCUCGACUCCAGAACUGCCUUUGAUACUGAAGAUCUCGAGUCCGGGAGAGGUGAGUGGAACUGCGAGUGUAGAGGUGAAAUUCGUAGAUAUUCGCAAGAACACCAGUGGCGAAGGCGGCUCACUGGCCCGGUACUGACGCUGAGGCACGAAAGCGUGGGGAGCAAACAGG